UCUCGAUCUCUUGACCUCAUUAUCCUCCCACCUCGGCUUCCCAAAGUGCUGGGAUUACAGGAUAAAGAUCCAUUACUUGGCUUUUAAAAACUCUACAGGACAUAGUCCUAUGUGAAACACCAUCUUUUUAUGGGUUAUAGUAACAAAAUUGGUGCAAGCCUUGUAAGAAUGCUGACCUGAGAACCUAGUCAAGAUGGACCUUCUCCUACAAGUCUUAUCUUUGAAGUCUCCAAAGUCUUGGCGUUUUCCAGGCCAAAGACUUAAAGGCCAAGUGGACCCUAGGGGAGAUCUAGUGUCCCAUCCAGACAGCCAAGCUCAAGCAUCCCUGGAUUUGGAUGGAUGGUUUCCCAUGGGGCCUUGGACAGAUUGGACCCAGCACUGGCACAGGGUUGACUUGGAAGAAUAAGCUCCUGGAAACCUCGAUUAGUGUUUGGUGUAUGAACAUUAAACAAUACUGAAUCUGGAAACAAUACAUCACACAGCGGGUCCAAGGAAAUAAGCAGAAGGCUGGCAGCAGGCCAGGGCCAGGGGCCAAAUCGCUCCUCAAGGACAAUUCUUCAUGGAGAAAUGACAGCAGGCUUGAGGACAGCAGGGACAGCAGAGAUGGCAUUAUCCGCUUUGGUCACCUCAUCCUCAUGUCCAGUCUCAGGGAAUGUGGUCAGGAAAAGGAAGAGGAACCAACAAAGAAGACUUAGAAGCAGUGGCCAAUACAACAGGAAAAUAACCCGGGGAAUGUAGAAUCCUGAAAGCCAUGGAAGGAAUGCCUCCAGUUUCAAAGGAAAAAGCCCCAAAGGCAGGACAUCUGGAAGCAGGGGGCUUCCAGCUCAUAGGAGGAUUUCAAGAUUUCCUUAUUGACCAUUGGUUGAAAGAGUUAAGCUCCGCCUGAAGACUUGAACUCAGCUUGAGUUACUGUAAGGCACGAAAGGGUUGUGGAAGCCCAGGCUUCCUGUCAUGUAGAUGACACCUCCAGGUAGCAGACUUCAGAUAGAAUAGAUGUAAAUGUCUCUUCUCAGAUCUUAAAAGGUGUCAGACUCUCUGGAAAAGACCUAGUAAGAGAAGAUUCUCUACAUAAUGUAAAUUUUCCCUAUAAGAGACUUUUGAAGGACCAUUUCAACAUAUGUCAAAGAAACAUAUUUUGGGGUAAAAUACUUUUAUUUCCUUCAGGGUCCACUGUGUAUCACAUGAUUUUAUACCAAAGACAAGUUAGAACUUGGUAUCUUCUUUGCUACAAAGAAUUUGUUUUGUCAGUCUUAAUAUCUUUCUGCGUUAAUGUUGAUGCUGGUCAGUCGUGACUGAAUUCUAAAGGGAGGAGAGUGUAAUGUCUGACUCUCCCUUUCCCUCAUGGCCUGAACUAGCUUUUCAGGCUUUUUUGGUUUUUUUAUCCCAUUGGCUAAGAGGUUGUCCAGUCAGUCAGUUGGGGGGGCUUAGAAUUUUAUUCUUGGUUCACACAUUCAAUUCUCACAACAACGUUAGAUGGUACUAUUAUCAUCUCUAUUUUAUAUAUGAGGAAACUGAGGCAAAAAGAAAGUAAAUAUCUUGGUAAAAAUAAUCAUUUCCUUUGUGGUUGACCUGCAGUGAAACUUUAAGCACUAUACUUUACUGUUUACUUCACUCAAAUAAUAUCUGUGAAAGUGUUUUCAAACUGAAAAAAAAAAAAAAAUCAAAUGCACUGAAAAUAAGUAUAAAAAGAAAUCCACUCUGAAAAUAAUGAAAAUUGGUUCACCUUUAAAUUUCUGAUUUUAUGCAUUCUAGUAUGUAAGGAGUAAUAAACAGAAACUCUGUAAAUGAUGUUUUCCUGAUAAUUCUUUUCAGUUUCUAUAUUCUAAAAGAUCAAAUAUUUGUCUUCCUCUUUCGUACUUAUUUAAAAAAUUCUGCUUCAAUUUCUACAUACCUAAAUCAGCAGCAUAAUCCCUUGAUAAAUGCUUUUCUUCAUAAUGCUAAGGACAGACUGAAAUUGAUGCUUUCUCUCAACUGCAAGCAAGGGAGAGAAAAUCUAAGAGCUGCGAACUUUCCCUUUUGUUUAUUCCGCCUGGCUAACCACCCAAAGCAGCCUCUCUCAUCUGCCUUAACUGCUGCUAUUGGGAAGGUCAGAAUUGUGCUCCACACAUCUGUCACCAUAUUCCUCAUGACUUUUAGGCACCAGAACCCAGAGGAAUGGUAGAAUUGAGCUAGGUUAUUGAUAAAUAUUGAUAGCACGUAUUAAAACAUACUAGUGCAUAUUGGCUAGUUCUGCUAUUUGGGGAUUUUUGUUCUCUGACUGUCCUUGAUCUUGCCCGUUGCUUUUCAAUUAUUUUCACACUUGCGUUAAUGUAUUCUGAGACAUAAGCAAGGAUAAGGAGAGUAAUGCAAACUUAAAUGAAUCCCUUCCAUUGCAGUUGUAAGCGAAAGUCUGAUGGGGUAGAGCUGAAAAUGACAGACAUUUGCCAUGUGACUUUCGCUCUUGGGAAAAUGGGUAAUUUCAUCCACCUUUUUGCAUUGCUCUAUUUCUGGCAUUUUUUCCUACUGAGAAAAGUUUUCUUAUGCAACAGCAAAUAAAAUAAAUAUUUAUAAUAACUCCUUGAAAAUAUAUUAAAGAUUAGCUUCAAGUUUCAGAAAAAAAUGUAACUCUUCAAUAUCUCUCAAAGCACAGGAAAAUGUAUAGUUUCUUUGUGUGUUCAGCAUUGAUUCAUCUGGAUGUAAAGACUGGCUCAGCCUUAAGAGUCUGGGAGACAGCUAAUUAACAAUCCAUUCAACUGAUAUUUAGUUGGGCUGCUCAAAAAUUGUCCCUUGCUACGAUAGCUAAUUUAUAAAAUUAAUAGUUAGAGAUUAGUGUUCAUGUAUUUUUGAGUAGAGUAUUUAUUGAAUAACUGCUAUGCUCUUAUUCCUUAGUGUUAUAUAAUAUGUUAUUUGGCUCUUUCUAAAUUGUUACACCAUAUAACAGGCAGCAGGAUAAUUUGCUUAAAAAAUAGAGAUGUUUAUAAUAUAUUUACACAUAUCUUAUAAGAUAUUUAUAAUAUAUGAUGUGUUCAUUUAUGCACAUAUUUGCCUGACUAGCAAGAUGAUUAGUAGAAAGAUAGAUGGAUAGAUUAAUAGAUAUAUAGAUAGGUAGGUAGAAAGAUAGGUAGAUAGAUGCAAUAUAAGGCAAUAGUGCUCUGUAAGUAUAAGACAAUUUAGACAAAGAAAAGAAUAGCAUACAAAACAUUAUACAGGCUAGAAAAUAAAUGCUCUAAAAAUAUUGUAAGAAUUCUGGAGGUCAGUUUUCAUAAGGAGAAUCAUAGAAACUGAAAAAGCAGAUAUGCUUUAGUAAUUAUGGUUUUAAGCCCAAGCUUAAUGUGGCCUAGAAUCCCCUUGGUGGGGAAUCUAAAUGUUUCAAUGACAAGACAGAGAGCUCUAAACAUGGACAACAAAGGCAGAAUCUUUUAUCUACUGGGAAAAUGUUAAGUUAAGUGCCAGAGACAGGCAAAGAACAAGCAAGAUCAUUUCUAGGGAGUCUGGAAAGGUAAUGGUCUUAAGAAUCCAAUAACAGAGGAAGGUGAGAAACAGGAUAAUCGUUGAUAGGUAUAGUUACACAUGCACAACCAUAGGCUAGUGGACCUACCAGGAUAUUCCAGAAACUCAAUUUGUAGUACAAAGUCUAUAGAUGCUGUGUUUAAAAUACUUGUAAGUCUAACUUAUGUUAUUGUAAGUAUCAGUGUCUUACCAAACAUGUUUGUGCAGAUUCUGAUGCCAUGAAUGGAAUUAAUUGUGUAAUGUGUAUAUAUUUCACUCAAAAUAAUAAGGAAACCAAGGCAAAAGUGAGGAUAGUGAGGACUGGAGUGGCUACAGAAAGCCACUCUGAAAAAUGGAACCUAAGCUGGUCAUUGAUACGUGGGCAGAAAUGGACAGGCAGAAAGUAGUAAUGGAGAAAUUAGGGCAGAAAAUAAAGGUAUGGGAGAAGUAAUGAGAGGAUUUCAAGAUAAGUGGAAGGAAAUGAAGAUUUUACAUGAGUUGGUCCAAAUUAUAUUUAGCCUGUGCAAUGUUAAAUGCAGUUCUGAAUACCAGCUUCAGGAGUAAUAAAAAAUUAGGUGGUUUUCAACUGAAAUAACACUUAAAUUUUUUUUCUAUUUUAAACAAAAAUGUUGAUGUUUUUUAAGUUUGUAAUUUUAAAACAAGUUCCAGAGGACACAAGGGGGCACACAGCCUAAGUGAGAGCUGCAUAUGAAAUGUCUAUAUUCAUAGUUACAUUAAGCACUACUUAAUUCUACUUAGAGGAGUGAGUUGUGAAGAGAGAGAAAGGAACAUUUAAUAGCUCAUUUUGCCUGAGUUUCCCAAUCAGGUAAGUACCGUGGAACAUGACAUCAUAGUUAUCAGUGUGGAUCUCACUUUAAAAAUAAUUUAUUUGUAAACAUUUGGUGGACAUGAGAGCUGGAUUAUAAUUCUAACAAUCUGAUAGAAAGUAAAAUUUGUAUCAAUUCCAUUAUGGCAAGGUCAUUUAUUAUUCCUUAUUGGGUAACAUAUUACGUAUAUUUUUUUCUGAAACCUUCAAUUAAUCACCAUAAUUCAGCACUCAUGUACUUCUUGAUAUUAAAGGAAAACUUUCAGGGGAAGAAAUUUUCAAAGAAUUAACAAUGGCAAAACCAUGCUUUCCUUGUUCACUAGUUAUUUGGAGUGAGUAUAGUUGUACACACUUCUUAUUCUCCUACCACAGUUCUACCAUAGUUCUAUCAUUUUAUUCACAAUAUAUAUUUGCCCAUCUCUCUUUUACAUAUCUAAAUUGUGCAUAUUUUUCUUUUCUUUUCUUUUCUUUUUUUUCUGAGGCAGAGUUUCACUCUUGUUGCCCAGGCUG